rnacentral:misc_RNA from 1 species
AACGGAGGGUGUUAGCGUUAUUCGGAAUUACUGGGCGUAAAGGGCGCGUAGGCGGCCAGGCAAGUCAAAGGUGAAAUCCCUCGGCUUAACCGAGGAACUGCCUUUGAAACUACCUGGCUCGAGGCCGGGAGGGGGUAGCGGAAUUCCCAGUGUAGCGGUGAAAUGCGUAGAUAUUGGGAGGAACACCGGUGGCGAAGGCGGCUACCUGGACCGGUUCUGACGCUGAUGCGCGAAAGCGUGGGGAGCAAACAGG